rnacentral:rRNA from 1 species
AUGAACGCUGGCGGCGUGCCUAAUACAUGCAAGUCGAGCGAACGGACGAGAAGCUUGCUUCUCUGAUGUUAGCGGCGGACGGGUGAGUAACACGUGGAUAACCUACCUAUAAGACUGGGAUAACUUCGGGAAACCGGAGCUAAUACCGGAUAAUAUUUUGAACCGCAUGGUUCAAAAGUAAAAGACGGUCUUGCUGUCACUUAUAGAUGGAUCCGCGCUGCAUUAGCUAGUUGGUAAGGUAACGGCUUACCAAGGCAACGAUGCAUAGCCGACCUGAGAGGGUGAUCGGCCACACUGGAACUGAGACACGGUCCAGACUCCUACGGGAGGCAGCAGUAGGGAAUCUUCCGCAAAGGGCGAAAGCCUGACGGAGCAACGCCGCGUGAGUGAUGAAGGUCUUCGGAUCGUAAAACUCUGUUAUUAGGGAAGAACAUAUGUGUAAGUAACUGUGCACAUCUUGACGGUACCUAAUCAGAAAGCCACGGCUAACUACGUG